rnacentral:lncRNA from 1 species
CGUCUUUGGCAUUCACACUUCGCCUUGUUUUAGUACUUACGAAAACCUAGCUAGCAUGCAAUUGUCAACCAUGCUAGGUAGUGGAUUGUUCAUGCGCUUGACUACAUAUAGGGUGCUCCUCUCUGCACGGUGUCCAUAAGUCCCUCAUACUCCAUAUAUACCUUUGUACUACUACCACCACACUAUAUAUAGGGUGCUCCUCUCUGCAUGGUGUCCAUAAGUCCCUCAUACUCCAUAUAUACCUUUGUACUACUACCACCACUUAAACUUUCAUUUGUGUUGAACUAGCUUCAUCAUGGUACACACUGACACACACUCAUGCACAUUAUUCUUACUUCCAAUUUUCCAUUACAUGCAUGUAUGUAUACAUUCCAUACUUUGUGUGAUUUUACAUCUGUGUGAUGAUGCUUGCAGAGCAAGCCUGUGAAGAUUGGUCUAUGGGGUGGAGUCGGAGGCCAGCCUCGUGACGUCAGACACGCUCCCCACCGACUAGCCCGGGUGGAAAUUUCUGGUGCAGACGCAAUCCACUCCAUCAAGUUUACAUAUGAGGAUCAUGCCGGGGAUCAGCAUGUAGAGGGUGCAUGGGGAGCUCCUAGUGGGAACAAGCACACGGUGUGUGAAUCAGCUUAACCUUAUAAAAUACCUAAUAUAUACAAUUUAUAUAUGUAAGUAACCCUUAUCGCCAUAUGAAGUCCUAACUGUAAAUUAUAAAAAUGCUUGAUUGUUGUUUUACACAGUUGGACCUUGAAGACACGGAAUAUGUGACUGAAAUUUCAGGAACCUAUGGUAGAUGGGGUAGUGUGUCGUCAAUAGUGACGUCUCUCAAAUUUGUUACAAACAAUGGACAGACUAUAGAAUGUGGUAUUGCUGGUUCCGGGGGUUCCUUUCAUGUCCCAGUG